CAGGGAUUGCCCUAGUAACGGCGAGUGAAGCGGCAACAGCUCAAAUUUGAAAUCUGGCCCUCGGGUCCGAGUUGUAAUUUGUAGAGGAUGCUUUUGGUGCGGUGCCUUCCGAGUUCCCUGGAACGGGACGCCAUAGAGGGUGAGAGCCCCGUCUGGUUGGACGCCAAUCCUCUGUAAAGCUCCUUCGACGAGUCGAGUAGUUUGGGAAUGCUGCUCUAAAUGGGAGGUAUAUGUCUUCUAAAGCUAAAUACCGGCCAGAGACCGAUAGCGCACAAGUAGAGUGAUCGAAAGAUGAAAAGCACUUUGAAAAGAGAGUUAAAAAGUACGUGAAAUUGUUGAAAGGGAAGCGCUUAUGACCAGACUUGGGCUUGGUAGAUCAACCUGGGUUCUCCCUGGUGCACUCUUCCUCGUCCAGGCCAGCAUCAGUUCGCUGCGGGGGAUAAAGGCUUCGGGAAUGUGGCUCCCUCGGGAGUGUUAUAGCCCGUUGCGUAAUACCCUGCGGUGGACUGAGGUUCGCGUUCUGCAAGGAUGCUGGCGUAAUGGUCAUCAGCGACCCGUCUUGAAACACGGACCAAGGAGUCGUCUUCGUAUGCGAGUGUUCGGGUGUUAAACCCCUACGCGUAAUGAAAGUGAACGCAGGUGAGAGCUUCGGCGCAUCAUCGACCGAUCCUGAUGUUCUCGGAUGGAUUUGAGUAAGAGCAUACGGGGCCGGACCCGAAAGAAGGUGAACUAUGCCUGUAUAGGGUGAAGCCAGAGGAAACUCUGGUGGAGGCUCGCAGCGGUUCUGACGUGCAAAUCGAUCGUCAAAUAUGGGCAUGGGGGCGAAAGACUAAUCGA
rnacentral:rRNA from 1 species